rnacentral:rRNA from 1 species
CUUCGGCGCAUCAUCGACCGAUCUGAUGUUCUCGGAUGGAUUUGAGUAAGAGCCUUACCGCUUGGACCCGAAAGAUGGUGAACUAUGCCUGAAUAGGGUGAAGCCAGAGGAAACUCUGGUGGAGGCUCGCAGCGGGUUCUGACGUGCAAAUCGAUCGUCAAAUUUGGGCAUGGGGGCGAAAGACUAAUCGAACCAUUAACAGUAUACUAGGUGGUUAAGAGGCCUGGUUGGCAAAGAUUAGGCCUAGUUGUCAGCGCUUAUAGCGUCGAUAGCGACACUGUCAAAUUGCCGGGAACCGCCUGAUCGAAGCCUAAGCUACCGCUGGCCCCCCGAAAGACGGGGCUCAGCACCAGGUCUAAUGAGCCUGGACAUGGUAAAAACGCGUAGGCUAGGGCAUACCCGCAGCCAACUCCUCGUGCUCGCCCCAUCCGGCGGACAGUGGAGGCAGUUCACAGACUAGACGGCAGUGGGUCUGGCGGUUUGACGCCGCCGGGCUUAAGAUAUAGUCGAUGGCGCCCAAGAAAUUGGGGCUACGAUCAGCUAGUAGCUGGUUACCGCCGAAGUUUCCCUCAGGAUAGCAGUGUUGUCUUCAGUUUUAUGAGGUAAAGCGAAUGAUUAGGGACUCGGGGGCGCUAUUUAGCCUUCAUCCAUUCUCAAACUUUAAAUAUGUAAGAAGCCCUUGUUGCUUAGUUGAACGUGGGCAUUCGAAUGUACCAACACUAGUGGGCCAUUUUUGGUAAGCAGAACUGGCGAUGCGGGAUGAACCGAACGUGGAGUUAAGGUGCCAGAGUGGACGCUCAUCAGACACCACAAAAGGCGUUGAUACAUCUUGACAGCAGGACGGUGGCCAUGGAAGUCGGAAUCCGCUAAGGACUGUGUAACAACUCACCUGCCGAAUGUAUCAGCCCUGAAAAUGGAUGGCGCUCAAGCGUCCCACCCAUACUCCACCCUCAGGGUAGAAACGAUGCCCUGAGGAGUAGGCGGCCGUGGGGAUGGUGACGAA